rnacentral:pre_miRNA from 1 species
CUUGCACUGGUGGGGUCCCUUGGCCUGGCCUGUGCCCUCUCGAAAUCCAGGACCCCUUGGGGGAUGUCAGAGAGCUGGUUUUGGCCUCACCCCCGCAGGCCAGGCCAAGGGACCCCACUGGUGCACA